ACUUCUUGGCUUGCUCAUUUUUCUUUCUGAUAAACACUCUUUUCUUUCCUCUCACUUCCCACAUCCACAAUUUCAUAUUUUUUUUAAAAAAUAAAUAAUUCGAUCGAACCCUAUGUAGGUUGCCUACAUAUCAUGUCCCUCAUGAAUCAAAUCAAGCGUAGUUCUAAAAAAUAAUGGACAAAAUAAACUAAAACAAAUCUUUUUGAAUUUUUGAAUUUUAACUUUUUUUUUCAAAUACAAAACAGGAAGUACUAUAACAAAAGACUCGAAAAUCUUAACUAGACUAACAGACUCGAUACUAUUGUACACGACUAAUAAUUAAAAGACAACAUAAAAUAGACUAAAAAAUAAAAAGUUUCCUCAAGCAGUUCGUGCAUGCAAUGGUCUUAACUAGAAUGGUCCUGAGGUAUUUAUCAUGCUCAAGCUCUAGCAAAUUGAUCCAUACCUGAAUUGGAAAAAUAAGAUCAAAUAGAGUUAGUGACUGAAGACACAUGUGGCGCCACGACACCUUCUAUUGGACACAUGCAAGGCAUGAUUAAGACUAUUUUUGCAAAAUGACCUACGUAGCCAAAAUAUGACUAUUAGCGCAAACUCAACAAAGAUGACCUUAAAGACAUGGACAUACCUCCCUAAGGCUUAUAUGGAUUCAAACUCCCAAUAAUCAUGGCCCAAAAUUAAUUUGCAGAAAUGACCCAUUUUGCAAAAACAACCGAUAUGACCAGAAGUGGCUAAAGAUGCAAACUCAAAAAGGAAGGACCUUAAAGUAAUAUGACACCUAGUUGUGGAAUCAAAAUCCUAAGACAUGGGUAAAUGAACCACUUUUGCGAAAAUGAUCCUAUUUUGCAACAAUGGCCGAUAUGGCCAAAAGUGGCUAGACAUGCAAAUUCAACAGGAAUGGCCCUUAAAACUAAGAGGACACCUUGUUGUGGGCCUAGGACUCUAAUACAUGGUUAACAAGCCAUUUUGCAAAAAUAUCCCUAUUUUGCAAAAACAGCCGAUGUGGCCAAACGUAGCUAGACAUGCAAGAUUUGGCUAAGACCCCGCAAAGCCAAGAACCUAAGACACUAGGAAGACCGGACCCUAUGUGGGUAGCCUACGUAUUCCACCCUAAAAGAUGAGAAUCAGGUAUGCGUAGUUCGGGAAGAUCGGACAUGGAAGAAAGCUUUAAAAUGAAAUGUAGCUAGUUUGGAAAAACUAUUUUUUGUCUUUUUGAAAAGUGAAGGAAAAUGUAAAAUCUUUUUGGAUUUUCUUUUCCUUUUUUUUUGAUGGGAAAGUGCAAAAUCUUUUGAAUUUUUCAUUUUCAUUUUUUUUGAUUUUUGAGAAACUAUAAAAGAAAAUAUGAGUGGGCCCUACUUGUUUCACCCCCAAAUAUCCUUGGUCCGCCAAAUGACCCUUUUACCCCUAAAGAGAUGCGACAUGUAGCACAUAGGGAUGAUUAAAUGUCUUUUUGGGCCAUAAGCCCAUUUUGACAUAAUUUGGAUAAGCCCCCUACAACGGGAUACGGUGCCUGGGACCGGACCCUGCUAGGUUUAAAUGAUAUGAUGCACAUAAGCAUGACCUAAAGGCUGACCUACGGUUGGGGUUCACAAGACAAGGCAAUUCGGGGCGGCGCAUGGUCGAUGGCGGCUGCUCUAGCUGUCCGCCCACUCCACGCUCCCACGUCACCCCCUAAAGAUACGAGUGACUCACAAAAAGGCCGUGUACGCUCAAACGUACUCCAGAAGACUUGUUGCAGAAAGAAGACCCGGGCUUAUGCAAAUGAUGACAAUUUAUAAAGCAGUAACACAUAAAGGGAAAAACUGUAAACAAAUAAGCAACUAAAUAAAACGACAUAAACAAAAUAAAAAUCAAUUAAAGCAAACAAAACACAUAAAAACCUCAACCGAAUAUCCUAAAAAGCCAAUAAGAUCUAGUACUAGCUCGAACCUGUAACUCCCCAGCGGAGUCGCCAGAACUGUCAUACCCCUUUUUUACAACCUCACUAACCCCUCUUAAAAGUUAAUAAAAAGAAAGAUUUUGUAAGCCUCAAAAGGAUUUUUAUUAAAAGUGACAAAAUUGGGUUAAAAAGGAAAUAACUUAGAGUCGCCACCUGACAUUUGUUUCGGUGUGACAUGCCACCGUUUUUAAAAAAAAUAAUUUUUUCAUUUAAAACAUUUUGAACUCCAAAACUAAGUCUACACUAGAGAUUUGGGUAAGGGAGUUCAUUUGACUCGGGAAGAAGGUGUUAGGCACUCCCCAAGUCCCGUAAAAAUUGCGGUUGCGUACAUGAUCAAGUUGGCUUUUAAAAUAUUCAAAUUGAGCUAAAAACAAACACAGAAAAGAAAAAAAAACAAACACACAAGAGGCUCGAGAUUGUCCCCACCUAAAAAAUAAAAAUAAAAAUAAAAAUGCUGCGAGUUCCACUUUCUGCCUCCAAAUACAAGUACUUCGGGGCAUACCCCGGAAAAUAUAUACAAAUUAUGCGGGGCAUUCCCCGGAUAAUAAACUAAAAAAAAAUGACCUCUUGCCUCAAAAUCCAAAUAAAAUUCUAAGGCUUGCCUACCCGAAUGUGGUCGGCUUAAGCAUGCUCCUAGCGGACAAGAUAAUAAAAGCAGGAGAAAUAGAACUAAUAAAAAAAUUCAAUUUCAUGCUCAUUCACUUUUUAAACUUCUUAUUUAAUGCAUUUGAGCAAGCCCGAUCCUAAAACAUGAAACGAUUAAUUACUAAUGGGCUUUGGUCAUUCCCCUCACCCACUACCCAGGUCAAAAUAAUUUCAUAUUCAACAAAACCAAUCAAAAUAACGUGUCCAACAUGUAACCAUCCAGGGAAAUUAAAAGAAAACGAAAACAAGAGAGAAUGGAACAAAACUGCCAAUAAUUCACAAAGCUUGCAAAAUAAUUGAUCAUCUAAGGCACACCACACCACGAGAUAAUGGGCUAAACUUAGGCAUAUAGAUAAAUUUAAGCAAUAUGACUGAACAUUGAUAUAAAUGCAUAAGGAUUUGCAUAUUACUGUGUCAAACAUGUGAUGUGAACGAAAAUGAGUACCACAUAUGAGACAUUAAAUCUACGAACAAUCUAUGGUUAAUACACUUUUGAGUUUAACUAGAAAUUAAUGUGUUGGAAGCACAAGUUCCUUAACGAGAUUGCUUCCUGCUCAUUCCAAUUCAAACUAACAUAUAAAUACUACAUUAAUUUGUUUAAAGCUAAAAGGGCUUAUCUCUGCCAAGAUCUAACUAAGGAAUAAACUCUUCAAUGCCUAUUGGUUAAAGUUGACAGAAAAUUUUAAGAUGCUAAUAAAACUCUUCUAGUCAAGCACAAUAAAGAAAACGUAGUAGACUGAAGACAAGCAUGAUAACAUUCUAGGCUCAACAGAACACUUUAAGCCUUGAAACACAUUCACCGUAACAUUUCCAUAUUCGACCAAACCUAUGCUCACUCGAGCAUUAGCAGAAUUUGACAGAUGAAGAUGAACAAACACCCGACAGUUAAAAUACGAUAAACUGCCUAAAACGAAAUUAUUAAACCUCCCAACGAUAAAUUCUUUUAAUGGCUCGCCUAAGGCUCGAUUCACAACAGAAAUAAAGGGAUGGAAAAGAGAAGUGAACCUGCUUUAAUAUGUGAGAAAUCCGAGAGUACACGCUUCAAAUCCAAGCGAGAAAAAUAGCGAUGAAAUAGGGCAGGAACCACAGAUCGGUAGCAACAACUCGGACGGCGCCGAUGAACUCGAAACAACCUCAAUCAAAUCCCAUCUCGAAACCAAAAUCAAAAGAAGAAACUGAAGUAUCUUUGGAGAAUUUUCUGAUUUUUCGAAAUGGAAACAAAAUUCGAACAAAAUCUGAACUCAAGCUAUUUUUUGUAUUUUGUUUUUCUGGAAAAGCAAACCAAACAUAAAAAAACUCAAAAACUGAAAAGAACCCUAGAACUCCUUUUUUUUCGAUUUUUCUGAUUUUUCUCUCCCUUAUCUCUUAGAUCGACUCCCCUAUUUAUAAGAAUCCUAGAAGCUUCCUCUUGCUUCUCCUCUAAGAAAUUCGAAGAUUUUCUCCCAAAAAUCCGACAAACCCCAAGGAAN
rnacentral:lncRNA from 1 species